AUGGCGAUGCCAAAUUUCCUUGGGGUUUCCAUUUUGUCAGGAAUUUUCAAUCCGGGGCAGCUCUACCCCGAGUACAUCUCCCCCGGCAACCAAACAAGGCCUCACCGUCUCUCCUACGACCUGCUCGUCGAAUUACUGGCCGAAAUUCUGAUGUUAGUAAUAAUUAUUAUUGUCACUUGGAUUAUCUCCUGCGGCCGCCAACUGAAUCUUGCAGAACUUCAUCGCACGAUUCCCUGGGGUUCAGUACAAGCAUCAGAAUAUAUUGUCAUAGAGCUCCAGCAUUUUGAAUUGGAUAGGCGAACAAGCUUCAUAAGGACAAAGGAGAAGAGUGAGCUCAUCAGAAGCAAAAGAUAUCCCUUAAUCGAAGUAUCCCUCCUCUAG
rnacentral:rRNA from 1 species